rnacentral:piRNA from 1 species
CACAUAGUGGACCCUGGGAGUAGGGAGCC